AUACAAACGUGAUCAUAAAGUAUCGAUGAUCGUCAAAAUCAAUAAUCUUCGGGUUUUUUUAUGUUCUUUUCGUCUAUCCAAGAGCACUGUAAGGUCAUUCUAUGUUCUUUUCGUAGUGUAUAUUACUGUGAAUGACCUGAACCCUACUGCCCCCUAUAUGUCAUGAUCAUGCUAAUGAAUGACGUUUGGCGUUGUACUAAAAAGUUAGGUCAAGAGCAAACCAAAAAAAAUGGGAAAGAAGGGACCAAAACAAAACAAACAAAUAAACAAACUACAUUUCUCAAAUUUUUGUCGUGAAGUUUAGAAUUUUAAUAAAGAAUUUAAAUAAGGAGAUUUUUUUUUUUUUAAAUCAGAAAACCGUCAGUAAAAAAUGACCUAUUCGGAGUGCUCUCCAUGAAAGAAUGGAUGGAGUACGGAGAGUUCAUCACGAUAACUCGUUCUUUUUCCCUUUGAAGGCAGUAUUGUGAUGAUAAACAACCAGCGAUGUGGGUAUGUGGUACUGAAAGGUGCUAUUCCUAGUCAGGUAAUGUUCCUUAAAACAAGGUGACCGUCACAAAGCCAGUGUUUGUUGCGCAACCUGUGUAGCAACAAAAACUGGGAACUGCGCAGCCGGGCACGUUGUGAAUAUCUAGGUACGUUUUGUGUUGCUGUAAAAUUUAGGGCCUUGUUAAUAUUCCAGGUUCUAUUAUUCCUCCGAUGUUAACAUUUCUACAACUUCCCCUAUAUGAGACACACUAAGUUCUUUACCGUAUCACUAUGGCAUUAAGUAUAAUUAGUUAUAUAUUCCUAUUGUCAUAUACCGUUCCCUUGUCCAUUCAUUAAAUGCUAAACAUUUUAAUUUUCCCUCCAGGUAAAUCUUUUUUCAAAAAAAACGUGGCAGAUUUGAAUAGUUACUAGGUCCUGUAUACAAUUAGGAAUGUUUCGUGUAAUCGCCUUGGGUUCUAAAGUUUGUUUCGGAUUAGUGCUGAUAACUGUGUCAUAAGAUGAUGUUGGCUGGUGUGAAUCAUCAAGUUUGGCUGGUAGUUUACUGCUGAUUGGUGAUCCUGAUGAUGUUUCUAUCCCAAAUUCUAAACAUUUUACAUUAUUUUCCCUAAAUUCACGAAAUUAAGAAAAUGUUCCGUAUUUGCAGAAACAUCUUUAAAUCUUUAAAUAAUUUUCCUUAAGAAAGUUAAAUAAAAUUUUACCCCUGUUAGAGUAAUGAAAAUGUAUGUUUUUUUU